ACGACCUUACUCGAACAUGAUUUGUUUUAUAUGAUUGUACUACUGUGUUCUUGACUUCUAAGAAGUACUAGUCUACUACAUUUUAAAGC
rnacentral:snoRNA from 1 species